GAGUGAAGCGGCAAAAGCUCAAAUUUGAAAUCUGGCUCUUUCAGAGUCCGAGUUGUAAUUUGUAGAGGAUGCUUCGGCUUACGUUUCGGUCUAAGUUCCUUGGAACAGGACGUCACAGAGGGUGAGAAUCCCGUUUGUGGCCGAGACUUCCGCCAUGUGAAGCUCCUUCGACGAGUCGAGUUGUUUGGGAAUGCAGCUCUAAAUGGGAGGUAAAUUUCUUCUAAAGCUAAAUACCGGCCAGAGACCGAUAGCGCACAAGUAGAGUGAUCGAAAGAUGAAAAGCACUUUGGAAAGAGAGUUAAAAAGUACGUGAAAUUGUUGAAAGGGAAGCGCUUGCGACCAGACUUGCCCGCGGAUGCUCAACCGGUCCUUCGGCCGGUGCACUCUUCCGCGGUCAGGCCAGCAUCAGUUCGAGCGGUCGGAUAAAGGCCUUGGGAAUGUGGCUCUCUUCGGGGAGUGUUAUAGCCCUUGGUGUAAUACGGCCUGCUUGGACUGAGGCCCGCGCUUCGGCUAGGAUGCUGGCGUAAUGGUCGUAAGCGGCCCGUCUUGAAACACGGACCAAGGAGUCUAACAUCUAUGCGAGUGUUUGGGUGUCAAACCCGUACGCGAAAUGAAAGUAAACGGAGGUGGGAAUCUUUGGAUGCACCAUCGACCGAUCCUGAUGUCUUCGGAUGGAUUUGAGUAAGAGCAUAGCUGUUGGGACCCGAAAGAUGGUGAACUAUGCCUGAAUAGGGUGAAGCCAGAGGAAACUCUGGUGGAGGCUCGCAGCGGUUCUGACGUGCAAAUCGAUCGUCAAAUUUGGGUAUAGGGGCGAAAGACUAAUCGAACCAUCUAGUAGCUGGUUCCUGCCGAAGUUCCCUCAGGAUAGCAGUAACGUUUUCAGUUUAUGAGGUAAGCGAAUGAUUAGAGGCCUUGGGGU
rnacentral:rRNA from 1 species